AAUAUAGAACAAGUGGCGAAAGUCUGAUCCAGCUAUGCCGGGGGUGUGAAGAAUGUCGUCGUAUCUAAAACCUUUUUAAGGGUGGCGGAAGGGUAGCACGUUAAUAUGCUGUUGUUUUGACGUUCCCGACAGAAUAAGCACCGUCUAACUUUGUGCCAGCAGCCGCGGUAAUACGAAGGGUGCAAGCGUUAAGCGGAAUUACUGGUCGUAAAGCGCGCGUAGGUGGUUUGUUAAGUUGGAAGUGAAAGCCCCGGGCUCAACCUGGGAACUGCUUUCAAAACUGGCAAGCUAGAGUAUGGCAGAGGGUGAUGGAAUUUCCUGUGUAGCGGUGAAAUGCGUAGAUAAAGGAAGGAACACCAGUGGCGAAGGCGACCACCUGGGCUAAUACUGACACUGAGGUGCGAAAGCGUGGGGAGCAAAC
rnacentral:rRNA from 1 species